GAUGAAGAACGCAGCGAAAUGUGAUACGUAAUGUGAAUUGCAGAAUUCAGUGAAUCAUCGAAUCUUUGAACGCAUAUUGCGCUCUCUGGUAUUCCGGAGAGCAUGCUUGUUUGAGUAUCAGUAAACACCUCAACUCCCUUUUCUUUUUUGAAAUGGGAGCUGGACUUGAGUGAUCCCAACACUUUUCUCACUGGAAAGUGGCGGGUCACUUGAAAUGCAGGUGCAGCUGGACUUUUCUCUGAGCUAUAAGCAUAUCUAUUUAGUCUGCCUAAAAAACAGAUUAUUACCUUUGCUGCAGCUAACAUAAAGGAGAUGAGUUCUUGUGCUGACUGAUGCAGGAUUCACAGAGACAGCUUUGCGGCUGACUUUGUAAACUCGAUCUCAAAUCAAGUAAGACUACCCGCUGAACUUAAGCAUAUCAAUAAGCGGAGGA
rnacentral:misc_RNA from 1 species